rnacentral:rRNA from 1 species
GAUUAACGCUGGCGGCGUGCCUAACACAUGCAAGUCGAGCGGCAGCGAGUUUUACACUGACUUCUGGAAGCUUCUAGUUGAAAGAGAAGAUUUAUUCAAGAAUUUUGUGUAAAAUGUCGGCGAGCGGCGGACGGCUGAGUAACGCGUGGGAACGUACCCCAAAGUGAGGGAUAACGCAUCGAAAGGUGUGCUAAUACCGCAUAUGGUCUUCGGAUUAAAGCCUUCGGGCGCUUUGGGAACGGCCUGCGUAAGAUUAGAUAGUUGGUGGGGUAAUGGCCUACCAAGUCGACGAUCUUUAACUGGUUUGAGAGGAUGAUCAGUCAGACUGGAACUGAGACACGGUCCAGACUCCUACGGGAGGCAGCAGUGAGGAAUCUUCCACAAUGGGCGAAAGCCUGAUGGAGCAACGCCGCGUGCAGGAUGAAGGCCUUCGGGUUGUAAACUGCUUUUAUAAGUGAGGAUUAUGACAGUAACUGAUGAAUAAGGAUCGGCUAACUACGUG